rnacentral:rRNA from 1 species
GACAGAGGGGGCAAGCGUUGCUCGGAAUUACUGGGCGUAAAGGGCGCGUAGGCGGCCACCGCAAGUCAAUUGUGAAAUCUCCGGGCUUAACUCGGAAAGGUCAACUGAUACUGCGGGGCUAGAGUGCGGAAGGGGCAACUGGAAUUCUCGGUGUAGCGGUGAAAUGCGUAGAUAUCGAGAGGAACACCUGCGGCGAAGGCGGGUUGCUGGGCCGACACUGACGCUGAGGUGCGAAAGCGUGGGGAGCAAACAGG